GAUGAACGCUGGCGGCGUGCCUAAUACAUGCAAGUCGAGCGAACAGACGAGGAGCUUGCUCCUCUGACGUUAGCGGCGGACGGGUGAGUAACACGUGGAUAACCUACCUAUAAGACUGGGAUAACUUCGGGAAACCGGAGCUAAUACCGGAUAAUAUAUUGAACCGCAUGGUUCAAUAGUGAAAGACGGUUUUGCUGUCACUUAUAGAUGGAUCCGCGCCGCAUUAGCUAGUUGGUAAGGUGACGGCUUACCAAGGCAACGAUGCGUAGCCGACCUGAGAGGGUGAUCGGCCACACUGGAACUGAGACACGGUCCAGACUCCUACGGGAGGCAGCAGUAGGGAAUCUUCCGCAAUGGGCGAAAGCUUGACGGAGCAACGCCGCGUGAGUGAUGAAGGUCUUCGGAUCGUAAAACUCUGUUAUUAGGGAAGAACAAAUGUGUAAGUAACUAUGCACGUCUUGACGGUACCUAAUCAGAAAGCCACGGCUAACUACGUG
rnacentral:rRNA from 1 species